UACGAGGGGGGCGAGCGUUGUUCGGAAUUAUUGGGCGUAAAGGGUGCGUAGGCGGCUUGGUAAGUCUGAUGUGAAAUCUAUGGGCUCAACUCAUAGUCUGCAUCGGAAACUGCCGGGCUUGAGUAUGGGAGAGGUGAGUGGAAUUCCUGGUGUAGCGGUGAAAUGCGUAGAUAUCAGGAGGAACACCUGUGGCGAAAGCGGCUCACUGGACCAUAACUGACGCUGAUGCACGAAAGCUAGGGGAGCAAACAGG
rnacentral:rRNA from 1 species